CACCACCUGAUUAGUGGCGAACGGGUGAGUAACACGUGAGUAACCUGCCCCUCACUUCGGGAUAACCUCGGGAAAUCGUGGCUAAUACCGGAUAUGAGCUCCUGCCGCAUGGUGGGGGUUGGAAAGAUUUAUCGGUGAGGGAUGGACUCGCGGCCUAUCAGUUUGUUGGUGAGGUAAUGGCUCACCAAGACGAUGACGGGUAGCCGGCCUGAGAGGGCGACCGGCCACACUGGGACUGAGACACGGCCCAGACUCCUACGGGAGGCAGCAGUGGGGAAUAUUGCACAAUGGGCGAAAGCCUGAUGCAGCGACGCCGCGUGGGGGAUGACGGCCUUCGGGUUGUAAACCCCUUUCAGUAGGGAAGAAGCGAAAGUGACGGUACCUGCAGAAGAAGCGCCGGCUAACUACGUGCCAGCAGCCGCGGUAAUACGUAGGGCGCAAGCGUUGUCCGGAAUUAUUGGGCGUAAAGAGCUCGUAGGUGGCUUGUCGCGUCUGCCGUGAAAACCCGAGGCUCAACCUCGGGCGUGCGGUGGGUACGGGCAGGCUAGA
rnacentral:rRNA from 1 species